UGGGAGAGGGGAUUUCAUAAUUGGGGUUUUGAAUAAGAUGACCUUUUCAUUUUUCAUUCUUCCUUUUUUUUUAAUUCUAGUUAUUGCCGUGGGACGGAGCGAAAAAGAUUAGAUCGAGAUACAAUCAAAUAUCUGUGACUACUCUCUCGCCCCCCUUUUUUUAGUUUUUUUUCGAAUUAGAUAAAAUAAAUAAGAAAGGU
rnacentral:lncRNA from 1 species